UACGUAGGGUGCGAGCGUUGUCCGGAAUUACUGGGCGUAAAGAGCUCGUAGGUGGUUUGUCGCGUUGUCCGUGAAAACUCACAGCUUAACUGUGGGCGUGCGGGCGAUACGGGCAGACUGGAGUACUGCAGGGGAGACUGGAAUUCCUGGUGUAGCGGUGGAAUGCGCAGAUAUCAGGAGGAACACCGGUGGCGAAGGCGGAUCUCUGGGCCUUACCUGACGCUCAGGCGCGAAAGCUAGGGGAGCGAACAGG
rnacentral:rRNA from 1 species